UCAGGCCUAACACAUGCAAGUCAAACGACAAAUUUUUUUGUAGUGGCGGACGGGUGAGUAACACGUAAGAACCUGCCUUUAGGAGGGGGAUACCAUCUGGGAAACUGGUGCUAAUACCCCAUAUGCUGAGAAGUGAAAAGGUAUUUAACCGCCUAGAGAGGGGCUUGCGGCUGAUUAGCUAGUUGGUAGGGUAAUGGCCUCCCAAGGCGACGAUCAGUAGCUGGUUUGAGAGGAUGAUCAGCCACACUGGGACUGAGACACGGCCCAGACUCCUACGGGAGGCAGCAGUGAGGAAUUUUCCGCAAAGGGCGAAAGCCUGACGGAGCAAUACCGCGGGAGAAAAAGAGAGACCUGUGGGUUGUAAACUCCUUUCUCAGAGAAGAAU
rnacentral:rRNA from 1 species